rnacentral:tRNA from 1 species
GGAGAGGUGACAGAGCGGCCGAUUGUGCCGGUCUCGAAAACCGGUGUGGGCGAGAGCCUACCGAGGGUUCAAAUCCCUCCCUCUCCG